rnacentral:lncRNA from 1 species
AUCCCAAGAUGCUGCAGAUAUCAAGAGCUCUGUGACUUCUGGUGGGGGAAUGAGGCUCAUCUGUUGUCCGUCCAUGUCUGUGUGGUCCCCUAAUGUCAAUGUGUGCCUUCAUCAGUGUCAGCCUGCUGUUGUUUCUGCUUUUUCUAAAGUUGUAGACUCCAGCAAGCCACCCACACUGCAGAACCCUGGAAGGUGUUAUCACAUUUAUCAGUGUUCUCUCCAAGAAGACAUAGACUCCACACAGCUUAAGAUACCCCAUCUUAAGAGAUCUGGAAGGAAGUGUUUGAAAUGGCAUACAUGUUUGUGGUUCUGGUAACCAAGGAAACGUGUCUCUAGAUACAAAGCCUCCUUUUUAAAAAUGAUGGCACUGUACUGGGAUUGUCUCAGAAUCACCCUCAGCAAGAUUCCAAAGGGGUUUGAAGUUAAACUAGGUCAUCUUCAGAACCUGAAUCCAGAGUUAGCCGACACGUGGGCAACAUCUCUUAAAACAUGCAGUGUUUAGAAGGGGGGCCAGUGCUCUGUGGACACGGGGAGCCGCCGUCUGCAUAGUCAGAGGCUUGUUUGGAUAGAUGUGUAAUGAAUCCCUCCUGGAUUCAACUUCCCUUGACUCUUGUUUUUUUGUUUACACUGUUUUAAUUUCUUGUUUGCUUCCUUUAGCACGUCUUUUGGAACAGUCCUUAAAAUCAUACAGUGAAAUUUUACUCACCAGCCACCAAUACUUAAGGUAUAGUUUUUAGUAACAGAUUUUUCCUGUCCAUCAAUGUAGAAACUGGACUUGGCUUAGAAUCUUUUUUUUUUUUUAAAGAUUUAUUUAUUUACUUCAUAUAUGUAUGUACUGUCGCUAUCUUCAGACACAAAAGAAGAUUGCAUCAGAUGCCCAUUAUAGAUGGUUGUGAGCCACUAUGUGGUUGCUGGGAAUUGAACUCAGGACCUCUGGAAGAGCAGUCAGUGCUCUUAACCGCUGAGCCAUCUCUCCAGUCCUAGAAGAUAAUCUUGCUCAAACUUUGUAUUCCUUUUUUUUGUAAAUGGUACCUGAAUGGAACCUGGUGCUUGAGCCUGCUAAGCACACGUUCUCCCACUGAGCCAUUCCCCUAGUUCAUGUCACUCCACAAAUGAGAAAGCAAGCCAUUACCAAUAGUGAAGAGGCAGAGGCUGUGUAUGAAUCUGAAUAUACACACCAGGGCACGAGGCCUGGACCAUUGGUACAGAUUGCUGUCAUUUCCCCGACACACAGCAGCGCUUCUUUAUGUUACAGAGGACUUCUGAGUACUUGGCAACAGGAAAGACAUCUCAGGGUCAUCACUAAUAAAGGAGUACGGCAGCCUUGGCCAUGAGCAUCUCACCCUCACACUCUAGUGUGCCACACAGGACUUAGAAGUAUGUAGACAGGUCUAGGGCAGCGGAGCUUGGUGUGGGGAGGCUUUCAGUGACUUGCAGCCGCCAUGAAUACCUGCAGUUACUUAACUCUGGAUGGACUCUUGACAGGCAGAUCGGUAGCAACCUCUUCUCUUAGACUUCAUUGUAAUAACCUGUAAACUGAAAUUGUGCUACGUUUUCCUAAGUGAUACACUUCAUAAUUAAAGAGGUUGAAGUGGGAAGAAGUGUUCAUAGAAUUUCCGCUUGAGAGCAAUUUUGACACCCGCUGCCUGGUUACCUAUUAAUUAAAUUAUAUACCUCAGGAUAAAAUUUCAGUUUAGUUAGAAGUUAAGUUCUUGUUCUCUGGAAGGCACUGUGAAGCUUUGAUGGAAUUUUAAACCAGGUUAUUAGAGAGUCAUGAAAAUUAGCAUAGACCCCCGAAACAAAUUUUUAUUAUGUACCUGCGUGUAAGACUUCUGGGCCUUCCUCCAAAGCUCCCAUUCACUAGAGCCAAGGGACCUUGAGAAUUUGAGUGUCCAGUAAGUUCCCAGGGAAUUCCUACAGCUGGUGCUCUGGACUACUGUUGAGGGUUCCUGUAUUGGAGAGAGCCUGCUUACGUCCCCAGUUUAAUAGAGGUAUUAUAUUUAAGCUGGUGCUUUUAUUUCCAUCUGAACUGAGUUGCUCUGCCAGUUACUUAGGCAUCUAAUCCAGGCUUUGUGCUUGGUGGCUUGCUGAUGAACGGUCACCAGGUGACUUCAGGUUGGGCAGCAGUCCUGAAGUGCGGCAUCGCAGGUUCUGUGGUAUCAGCAAUUUCUGAGGUUCUCAGAGGGCAUGAGCCAGCUUAUCAAUUUCUUGUAUGUCUAGCAGGCCUCUCUAGAAUACUCUGCUAUCACAUAAGUAUAUAGAUUUCAAAGCAUGUGUUGAACAUGACCCUUAGCUGCGAUAACCCCUUAUCAUCCUUUAAAGGUCAGGUUUGGGGAAGAUGGAAAUUAAGUCAUUGUUUACCCCCAAGGAAAGCGUGACUGCACACCAAGAGGUUUUAUUGGCUCAAACUGAUUUUCGUUUUGAAUUGGUCGUUGACUAGAGAUUUUUCACACAGGAAAC